rnacentral:tRNA from 1 species
GGGGCCGUAGCUCAGCUGGAAGAGCAGGUGCUUUGCAAGCAUCAGGUCGUCGGUUCGAUCCCGAUCGGCUCCACCA